rnacentral:rRNA from 1 species
GAUCAUGGCUCAGGAUGAACGCUGGCGGCGUGCUUAACACAUGCAAGUCGAGCGAAGCACUUAAGAAUGAUUCUUCGGAUGAGCUCUUUUGUGACUGAGCGGCGGACGGGUGAGUAACGCGUGGGCAACCUGCCUCAUACAGGGGGAUAACAGUUAGAAAUGACUGCUAAUACCGCAUAAGCGCACAGUGCUGCAUGGCACCGUGUGAAAAACUCCGGUGG